UUUAUUUCUUUCAAUUCUAGGAGCUGAAAUCGCCAUGAUCAUAUCUGGCAACAGCACAGGACGCCUAUGGUUUUGUAACAUGAGAAGAAUUAGCCCUGUCUCUGUGGUAACUGGUGUUGGAGUUAAAUCCACAAAUUAAUUUUCAUCUCAUCGUCUCUCACCUGGCCAUUUUCAAGGAAGCAUUCAUCAAGAAAUACUGACAAGAGAAAACUUCUCCAGUCAACAGGAAUCUUGAACAGCCAUUGAAAGCAGAAACCGAAUGCCUGCUCUUGUCUCUGUCUUCACCGCUGGGACCGAACACAGUGAGGAGGCCACACUGGUAUCAUCGAGGAGGACUUCUGUGUGAAGAGCACGUUUGCCCGUGAUGAGGAGGAAAUGAGAGAGUGGAAA